CCGUACCAAUAACCGCAUCAGGUCUCCAAGGUUAGCAGCCUCUGGUCGAUUAGAAGAAUGUAGAUAAGGGAAGUCGGCAAAUUAGAUCUGUAAMUUCGGGAAAAGUAUUGGCUCU
rnacentral:rRNA from 1 species